rnacentral:sRNA from 1 species
GGAUGUCAGGGCAAUUUGGCUGUGAUUAUCUGUCACACCAUUGAUAGCCAGGGUUUAGUCAACUGAUCUGGCUGGUUAGGUGGGUGUCUCCUUCCUCCCUCACUACUUCAUGUGUGUCUCCCCACACAGAGUUGUAUGCUCUAAAGUGGAGGAGCAUUCUUUAGUGAUAAUGACAGGUCCCAUGGUCACCAGGAUUGUUAUGAUUAGCAUGUGAGCAGCACUAGAGAACAAAGGCUGAAAUUGAAUUGGCAACCAAAAUUC